ACGGGAGGCAGCAGUGAGGAAUAUUGGUCAAUGGACGAGAGUCUGAACCAGCCAAGUAGCGUGCAGGAUGACGGCCCUAUGGGUUGUAAACUGCUUUUGUACGGGAAUAAAGUGACCUACGUGUAGGUUUUUGCAUGUACCGUAAGAAUAAGGACCGGCUAAUUCCGUGCCAGCAGCCGCGGUAAUACGGAAGGUCCGGGCGUUAUCCGGAUUUAUUGGGUUUAAAGGGAGCGUAGGCCGUGCUUUAAGCGUGUUGUGAAAUGUAGGCGCCCAACGUCUGCACUGCAGCGCGAACUGGAGCACUUGAGUACGCAGGAAGUAGGCGGAAUUCGUCGUGUAGCGGUGAAAUGCUUAGAUAUGACGAAGAACUCCGAUCGCGAAGGCAGGUGUCCGGGGUGUAACUGACGCUGAGGCUCGAAAGUGCGGGUAUCAAACAGGAUUAGAUACCCUGGUA
rnacentral:rRNA from 1 species